GACGAACGCUGGCGGAAUGCUCUACACAUGCAAGUCGAACGGCAGCACGGACUUCGGUCUGGUGGCGAGUGGCGAACGGGUGAGUAACAUAUCGGAACGUAUCCAAUAAUGGGGGAUAACGAGUCGAAAGAUUCGCUAAUACCGCAUACGCCCUACGGGGGAAAGCUGGGGACCUUCGGGCCUGGCGUUAAUGGAGCGGCCGAUAUCUGAUUAGCUAGUUGGUGAGGUAAAGGCUCACCAAGGCGACGAUCAGUAGCUGGUCUGAGAGGACGACCAGCCACACUGGAACUGAGACACGGUCCAGACUCCUACGGGAGGCAGCAGUGGGGAAUUUUGGACAAUGGGCGCAAGCCUGAUCCAGCCAUUCCGCGUGAGUGAAGAAGGCCUUCGGGUUGUAAAGCUCUUUCGCAAGGGAAGAAAACUUAGCCACUAACAUUGGUUGAGGUUGACGGUACCUUGAUAAGAAGCACCGGCUAACUACGUGCCAGCCGCCGCCGCGG
rnacentral:rRNA from 1 species